rnacentral:rRNA from 1 species
GGAAUAUUGCACAAUGGGCGAAAGCCUGAUGCAGCAACGCCGCGUGCGCGAUGAAGGCCUUCGGGUCGUAAAGCGCUUUUCUGGGGGAAGAGAGAGGACGGUACCUCAGGAAUAAGUCUCGGCUAACUACGUGCCAGCAGCCGCGGUAACACGUAGGAGACAAGCGUUAUCCGGAUUUAUUGGGCGUAAAGGGCAUGUAGGCGGGCUCUUAAGUCGGAUGUGAAAUCUCUUGGCUUAACCGGGAAGGGUCAUUCGAUACUGGGAGUCUUGAGGGCAGGAGAGGGAAGUAGAGUUCCCGGUGUAGGGGUGGAAUAUGUAGAUAUCGGGAGGAAUACAAGUGGCGAAAGCGGCUUCCUGGCCUGUGCCUGACGCUGAUAUGC